rnacentral:rRNA from 1 species
UACAGAGGUGGCAAGCGUUGUUCGGAAUUACUGGGCGUAAAGGGCGCGUAGGCGGCCUUCUAAGUCAGACGUGAAAUCCCCCGGCUUAACCUGGGAACUGCGUCUGAUACUGGGAGGCUUGAGUAUGGGAGAGGGAUGUAGAAUUCCUGGUGUAGCGGUGAAAUGCGCAGAUAUCAGGAGGAACACCGGUGGCGAAGGCGGGUCUCUGGGCAAUAACUGACGCUGAGGAGCGAAAGCGUGGGGAGCGAACAGG